UCAAAGAUGGGUCUGCGUCUGAUUAGCUGGUUGGUGGGGUAACGGCCUACCAAGGCGACGAUCAGUAGCCGGUCUGAGAGGAUGAACGGCCACAUUGGGACUGAGACACGGCCCAGACUCCUACGGGAGGCAGCAGUGGGGAAUCUUCCACAAUGGACGAAAGUCUGAUGGAGCAACGCCGCGUGAGUGAAGAAGGGUUUCGGCUCGUAAAGCUCUGUUGUCGGGGACGAAUGUGCAGUAUUUGAAUAAAGUACUGUAAUGACGGUACCUGACGAGGAAGCCACGGCUAACUACGUGCCAGCAGCCGCGGUAAUACGUAGGUGGCAAGCGUUGUCCGGAAUUAUUGGGCGUAAAGGAAGUGCAGGCGGAAAUGUAAGUCAGACGUAAAAUUGCGGGGCUCAACUUCGUGAUGGGAUCUAAACUAGCAUUCUUGAAUGGAAGAAAAGAAAGUGGAAUUUCUAAUGGAACGGUGAAAUGGCUAGAUGUUAGGAAGAACUCCAAUGGCCAAAGGCACUUUCUGGAAUGGAACUGACGCUUAAGCUCUAAAGCCAUGGGAACGAACGGGAUUAGAUUCCCCUGUAGUCCUGGGCGUUAACCAAGAAUUCUAAGGGGUGGGAAGGAUUCGACCUCUUUCGGGGCCGGAGUUUACGCCAAUAAGUAUUUCCGCCUGGGGGAAUACCGG
rnacentral:rRNA from 1 species